rnacentral:misc_RNA from 1 species
AACGCAUCUUGCACCCCUAGGUAUUCCUGGGGGUAUGCCUGUUUGAGUGUCAUUAAUCUUAUUCUCAAGCCAAAGUUGCGGAGAACGGUUUUGCCCUUCUCCUGAUUUUCAGUUUGGAUGAUGAAGGUUGCUGGCUGUUUGUGCAGCUCCUUUGAAAUUCAUUAGCAGGAAGUUGACAAAAGCCAGCUUACGGUUUGAUAUGCAUCUAGCUGUUUGCUGUGAAGUCAUUGUGUUCUGCUUUCUUGUCCUUGACAGGACUGCUCACUCUUUCGAGCAAACUAUUUGUAACUUGACCUCAAAUCAGGUAGGAUUACCCGCUGAACUUAA